GCAGGAGGUAAUAAAGGACGAUCUCCAUCGAGACAGAAAGACUUUUAAAACUGAAGAAAGAUAAGGAAGACUUCUCUAAACAAGUUAUCGAUGCUUUUGAUCAGAAGGAGCUGCGCAUGGACUUCAUUUUUAAGUAAAGCGGAUGACAGAAAUUCCUAACAUGCCAUAGCUUGUUCACACAAGAGCGAUGUGAGUGGUGAAAAAAACUGAACAAGAUCGCUUCAAGAGGUAGCAAAGUGGGUCUGAUGGGACCGAGCGAGUGGCUGCGAGAUGCGAUAUGACAGCCUUUCAUGUUGCGUUGUCCAUGAGAUGUGCCGUCAGGGCGCUAACACGCCACGACUCUACACAACUGCCUUGGUCCGGAUCACCACGAGAGACUUUGGCCCACGCACUCUGCAGACAACAUGAGUUCUGCAACGGUACUUUAAACGAGGAACGGGUGCAACGAUCAGACAGCAUUGAACAAAGGUGCCGUGUCGCAGGCAGGGUUGCUAUUAAUACCCUCCCCACUUGACCGUGACCUGUCAGAGACAAGACAUCCCACGCAGAAGCUGAUGGAUGGCCGUGGUUGUCCGUGCUGCCGAAGGAUACCUGCAUGCGCUGGUGCACCUCCCCGGAUUGUAAAUAAUCAAAUGUAAAUAAUCAAAUGUAUAUACCGUAUUUCCUUGAAUUGCUGCCGGGGGCGCUAAUUAAUUUAAAACCUCUUCUCACUCCGGCGUUUACCAAAGGCAUGCGGUAAAUUUAGGCCUGCGCUUAUAAAUUUGAGUGUGAUGUAAGGAUACCAUCAUGAAAAGCACAUUUAAUAAAAAAGAACGUUAUUACGGUCUUACCUUUACUUAUAAAUAAAGUCCAUGCGCAGCUCCUUCUGAUCAAAAGAAUCGAUAACUUGUUUAUAGAAGUCUUCCUUAUCUUUCUUCAGUUUUAAAAGUCUCUCUGUCUCGAUGGAGAUAUUCCUUUAUUACCUCCUGCUUCCAUUGAAAGUCCAGUUUAGAAAACUGUUUUAUUUUAGAUGUGUAAUCCUCCAUGUUAAAAGUGCAAGCGAGAGGAAAAAGUAAACGAUCGCUGCUUGUUGUCACUUCUUCUGCAGCCGAGUAGUCGCAAGAAGGAUCACUAGCGCCCUCUACCACCGGGAGGCGGGAGUCAUUUAAUGACUCAUAUUUGACACACGCAGCUACAGUAUAUUAAUAAUACAUAGCUGCUUACUGUUCUUUUAAGCAUAUUCAAUAGCUUGGACCUUAAAUCCUACUGAAUAGCUCUUAAUCUUCUUCCCUUUAUGCGAUUUCUAAUGAUUGAAAUCGGUCCCCUCCAUUUUGAAAAUGAUGACAGGUGAAGUGUCACUCGUGACGUGACGAGUUUGACCCAGUGGAAAUUCUAGGCAUAUGCUAAUAAAAAUAAUAUUUUGCGAAACGAGUUGACCCGACAUUAAUCGUGAGCCAGCGGUAAUGCUAAGCAUGCGCUAAUUAUUUUGCAAAACGAGUUUGACCCGGCAGUAAUUCUAGGCAGGCGCAUACUAUAUACCCGGCGGGAAUUCCAGGAAAUACGGUACUUGUUCUUAUGCUUUCUGAACUCACAAUGUUGACUGCUCGCUGUACAUAUCCUACCAAGUCAGACCAUUUCUCUGAUGAUGCAAUUGUGGAUGAUUGAAGUGCUGAUAUCAACCAAACCUAAUUCCCCCUCCACAUUGUAAAUAAUGUAAAUAAUUCAAUGUAUAUACUCUGAUGAUUAACUUGUGUGAUGACUGUAUUAUGCUGAUAGUAUAUAUUUGUACCAUGAAUUGAUUAACGUGGACCUCGACUUAAACAAGUUGAAAAAUUCGAGUGUUACCGUUUAGUGGUCAAUUGUACGGAAUAUGUACUUUGCCGUGCAAUCUACUAAUAAAAGUUUCAAUCAAUCAAUCAAUCAAAUGGUUAUCAGUAGUGUGUCCAAAAGGAUUUCAGUUGUGUGUGUGAGAGAAACAAUUUUCAGUAGUGUGCAUGAGAGGAUUUCAGUUGUGUGUGAGAGACGAUUUCAGUAGUGUGGAUGAGAGGAUUUCAGCAUGUACUGUACUGUGUAAUCUACUAAUAAAAGUUUCAAUCAAUCAA